rnacentral:ncRNA from 1 species
UAAAAGAACUGUUUAAUUAUGGCAGAGGAAAUGAGUAGCUAGUUAAACUGCAUAGAUGAUUAUUUUAAAUUUAAAAUGAGGUUAUUAUAGCAGGCUUCUUUUAAGCUAGCAGCGAGUACUUUAAAAUUCAUUAGGGUGAGAAAAGAUAAUUAGCUGAUAGGGGAGGAUAAGUCGCAGUGCCAGCAUCCGCGGUUAUUCUGCCUCCCUUCAUUUCUUAAACAGAUUACUUUUAGCUAAUUAUAGCUUUUUUACUGUAAAAGGUGUAGAAAGGAUUAAACUUUUUUAGCUACUGGUGUUUAUACACUUUAAACAAAGCAAAUUAGAUACUUGCUUAGUUGUGGGUAUACUAAAUUUUUAGUUAAACUAAAAUUAUUUGGCAGCUGACUAAUCCUGACAGGGGAGGGUGCUUAGUAAAAGAUGAUCCGCUUACGAACCUACUUUUCUAAAUUAGUUGGUGUACGUCCGAUUGAAGACUGGUAAUUAAAAAUUUAAUAUCAGUGCAAGUUAAGUUAAACUUAAGUCAGGUCUAUGUGCUACUGAUAGAAAUGUUAUUGUUCCCUACUUUCAAAAAAGAAUGUAAAUAUUUAAUUUAGGACUUGUGAGUAAAGCUAUAAUAGAGAGGAAGCUUGAAAAAGGUUUAGUUGGGGUACACACCGCCCGUCAAUCUCGGUUAAUUACUGAGAUAAGUCGUAACAUGGUAGCUCCGGGGGAACCGGGAGCUAGUAUC